GGGCAAGUCCUGCACGACCAGCUCCCGCUGAACCCCCCAGGUCCGGAAGGAAGCAAGGGCAGGCGGUCGUAGCGGUGCGAUGUGGGUCGCUUGCCCCA
rnacentral:SRP_RNA from 1 species